UGGGAAUUUUGGACAAUGGGCGAAAGCCUGAUCCAGCAAUGCCGCGUGUGUGAAGAAGGCCUUCGGGUUGUAAAGCACUUUUGUCCGGAAAGAAAUCCUUGGCUCUAAUACAGUCGGGGGAUGACGGUACCGGAAGAAUAAGCACCGGCUAACUACGUGCCAGCAGCCGCGGUAAUACGUAGGGUGCAAGCGUUAAUCGGAAUUACUGGGCGUAAAGCGUGCGCAGGCGGUUUGCUAAGACCGAUGUGAAAUCCCCGGGCUCAACCUGGGAACUGCAUUUGGUGACUGGCAGGCUAGAGUAUGGCAGAGGGGGGUAGAAUUCCACGUGUAGCAGUGAAAAUGCGUAGAGAUGUGGAGGAAUACCGAUGGCGAAGGCAGCCCCCUGGGCCAAAUACUGACGCUCAUGCACGAAAGCGUGGGGAGCAAACAGGAUUAGAUACCCUGGUAGUCCACGCCCUAAACGAUGUCAACUAGUUGUUGGGGAUUCAUUUCCUUAGUAACGUAGCUAAUGCGUGAAGUUGACCGCCUGGGGAGUACGGUCGCAAGAUUAAAACUCAAAUGAAUUGACGGGG
rnacentral:rRNA from 1 species